GGGAGUUUGGUCUAGUGGUAUGAUUCUCGCUUAGGGUGAGAGGUCGUGGGUUCAAUUCCCGCAACUCCCC
rnacentral:tRNA from 1 species